rnacentral:rRNA from 1 species
ACUCAAAGGAAUAGACGGGGACCCGCACAAGCGGUGGAUGAUGUGGAUUAAUUCGAUGCAACGCGAAAAACCUUACCUACCCUUGACAUGGUUGGAAUCCCGAAGAGAUUUGGGAGUGCUCGCAAGAGAACCAAUACACAGGUGCUGCAUGGCUGUCGUCAGCUCGUGUCGUGAGAUGUUGGGUUAAGUCCCGCAACGAGCGCAACCCUUGUCAUUAGUUGCUACAUUCAGUUGAGCACUCUAAUGAGACUGCCGGUGACAAACCGGAGGAAGGUGGGGAUGACGUCAAGUCCUCAUGGCCCUUAUGGGUAGGGCUUCACACGUCAUACAAUGGUACAUACAGAGGGCUGCCAAACCGCGAGGUGGAGCUAAUCCCAGAAAGUGUAUCGUAGUCCGGAUUGUAGUCUGCAACUCGACUACAUGAAGUUGGAAUCGCUAGUAAUCGCGGAUCAGCAUGUCGCGGUGAAUACGUUCCCGGGUCUUGCACACACCGCCCGU